rnacentral:rRNA from 1 species
AUUGAACGCUGGCGGCAGGCCUAACACAUGCAAGUCGAGCGGUAGAGAGAAGCUUGCUUCUCUUGAGAGCGGCGGACGGGUGAGUAAUGCCUAGGAAUCUGCCUGGUAGUGGGGGAUAACGUUCGGAAACGGACGCUAAUACCGCAUACGUCCUACGGGGGAAAGCAGGGGACCUUCGGGCCUUGCGCUAUCAGAUGAGCCUAGGUCGGAUUAGCUAGUUGGUGAGGUAAUGGCUCACCAAGGCGACGAUCCGUAACUGGUCUGAGAGGAUGAUCAGUCACACUGGAACUGAGACACGGUCCAGACUCCUACGGGAGGCAGCAGUGGGGAAUAUUGGACAAUGGGCGAAAGCCUGAUCCAGCCAUGCCGCGUGUGUGAAGAAGGUCUUCGGAUUGUAAAGCACUUUAAGUUGGGAGGAAGGGCAGUUACCUAAUACGUGAUUGUUUUGACGUUACCGACAGAAUAAGCACCGGCUAACUCUGUGCCAGCAGCCGCGGUAAUACAGAGGGUGCAAGCGUUAAUCGGAAUUACUGGGCGUAAAGCGCGCGUAGGUGGUUAGUUAAGUUGGAUGUGAAAUUCCCGGGCUCAACCUGGGAACUGCAUUCAAAACUGACUGACUAGAGUAUGGUAGAGGGUGGUGGAAUUUCCUGUGUAGCGGUGAAAUGCGUAGAUAUAGGAAGGAACACCAGUGGCGAAGGCGACCACCUGGACUGAUACUGACGCUGAGGUGCGAAAGCGUGGGGAGCAAACA